rnacentral:rRNA from 1 species
CAGCAGCCGCGGUAAGACGAACCGUGCGAACGUUAUUCGGAAUCACUGGGCUUAAAGCGCGCGUAGGCGGAUCGGCGCGUCCGAUGCUGAAAGCCCCCGGCUCAACCGGGGAAGUGGCUCGGAUACGGCCGGUCUGGAGUACGGUAGGGGCAGAGGGAAUUUCCGGUGGAGCGGUGAAAUGCGUUGAGAUCGGAAAGAACACGAACGGCGAAAGCACUCUGCUGGGCCGACACUGACGCUGAGGAGCGAAAGCGUGGGGAGCGAACAGGAUUAGAUACCCCGGUAGUCCCUGUCUCUUAUA